CAGAAUGUGGCUAAACAGUUAAAGCAUCUCAUUUACACCGAGAAGAUACCCGUGCAAGUAGGGUCGUUCUGA
rnacentral:tRNA from 1 species